rnacentral:rRNA from 1 species
UACGGAGGGUGCAAGCGUUAUCCGGAUUUAUUGGGUUUAAAGGGUGCGCAGGCGGAAUAAUAAGUCAGUGGUGAAAUCUCUCGGCUCAACCGAGAAACUGCCAUUGAUACUGUUAUUCUUGAGUAUAGUUGUAGUGGGCGGAAUAUAGCAUGUAGCGGUGAAAUGCUUAGAUAUGCUAUAGAACACCGAUCGCGAAGGCAGCUCACUAAGCUAUAACUGACGCUCAGGCACGAAAGCGUGGGGAGCAAACAGG